UUUGUAUAGUGCUAUUUUUUCAUAAACAAGAUAUAUAAUGUAUAUACAUGUAUUGUAGUGAUCAUUAACUAGUUAUGUCUUUUAUUAAAACAUACAAUUGUUCUCCUUCAGGUUGUGUUUUCUUUACUUUUAUUGUACACACUGCUGGAAAGAUAUAUCUUGUUUGUAUAUGUAAAGUUAUGUCAAUACGUUAGACGUAUUGUUUAUUGAUAGUGGUGCAUAUUUUUUAUUUAUUUGUUGUUUGGUUUUUUUUUUUUAAAUGUUUCAUAUGUGAUACAAAUAUAUGUUAUUACAAUCAUGGUGCACUAUAACAACA
rnacentral:lncRNA from 1 species